rnacentral:misc_RNA from 1 species
AAUCCGAGAAUUUCACCUCUAGCGCCGCAAUACGAAUGCCCCCGUCUGUCCCUCUUAAUCAUUAUCUCAGAUUCCGAAGACCAACAGAAUAGAAUCGAGAUCCUAUUCCAUUAUUCCAUGCAAGAUUAUUCGGUCGGGAACGACUGCUUUAAGCACUCUAAUUUGUUCAAAGUAAACGUACGGAUCACUACCGACACCCGGUGAAGAGCAUUGGCAGAGGGUCCGUAUGCUGUUCGGCCGUCGCAGUAACCGCCGGCAAGCGGACCACGAGGCGCGAACUGAGAUCCAACUACGAGCUUUUUAACCGCAACAACUUUAAUAUACGCUAUUGGAGCUGGAAUUACCGC